rnacentral:tRNA from 1 species
ACCGAAAUAGCUCAGUUGAUAGAGCGCCAGACUAUACAUCGAAAAGUCCCUGGUUUGAUCCCGGGUUCCGGCA